AGUUAAAUACCUCAUGAAUAGUUUAAUGAGGUAUUUAUCUAGAUAAAUGCCUCAUUAAACUAUUCAUGAGGUAUUUAAUACAUAAUUAUU